CCUACGGGAGGCAGCAGUGGGGAAUUUUGGACAACGGGCGCAAGCCUGAUCCAGCCAUGCCGCGUGUGGGAAGAAGGCCUUCGGGUUGUAAACCACUUUUGUCAGGGAAGAAACGGCUUUUUCUAAUACAGAGAGCUAAUGACGGUACCUGAAGAAUAAGCACCGGCUAACUACGUGCCAGCAGCCGCGGUAAUACGUAGGGUGCAAGCGUUAAUCGGAAUUACUGGGCGUAAAGCGUGCGCAGGCGGCUUUGCAAGACAGAUGUGAAAUCCCCGGGCUCAACCUGGGAACUGCAUUUGUGACUGCAUGGCUAGAGUACGGUAGAGGGGGAUGGAAUUCCGCGUGUAGCAGUGAAAUGCGUAGAUAUGCGGAGGAACACCGAUGGCGAAGGCAAUCCCCUGGACCUGUACUGACGCUCAUGCACGAAAGCGUGGGGAGCAAACAGGAUUAGAUACCCUGGUAGUCCACGCCCUAAACGAUGUCAACUGGUUGUUGGACGGCUUGCUGUUCAGUAACGAAGCUAACGCGUGAAGUUGACCGCCUGGGGAGUACGGCCGCAAGGUUGAAACUUAAAGGAAUUGACGG
rnacentral:rRNA from 1 species